rnacentral:rRNA from 1 species
UAAGAGACUGAGCGGCGGACGGGUGAGUAACGCGUGGGUACCUGCCUCAUACAGGGGGAUAACAGUUAGAAAUGGCUGCUAAUACCGCAUAAGACUGCAUGGUAAAAACUCCGGUGGUAUGAGAUGGACCCGCGUCUGAUUAGGUAGUUGGUGAGGUAACGGCCCACCAAGCCGACGAUCAGUAGCCGACCUGAAGGGUGACCGGCCACAUUGGGACUGAGACACGGCCCAGACUCCUACGGGAGGCAGCAGUGGGGAAUAUUGCACAAUGGGCGAAAGCCUGAUGCAGCGACGCCGCGUGAAGGAUGAAGUAUUUCGGUAUGUAAACUUCUAUCAGCAGGGAAGAAAAUGACGGUACCUGACUAAGAAGCCCCGGCUAACUACGUGCCAGCAGCCGCGGUAAUACGUAGGGGGCAAGCGUUAUCCGGAUUUACUGGGUGUAAAGGGAGCGUAGACGGCUGUGCAAGUCUGAAGUGAAAGGCAUGGGCUCAACCUGUGGACUGCUUUGGAAACUGUGCAGCUAGAGUGUCGGAGAGGUAAGUGGAAUUCCUAGUGUAGCGGUGAAAUGCGUAGAUAUUAGGAGGAACACCAGUGGCGAAGGCGGCUUACUGGACGAUGAC